rnacentral:tRNA from 1 species
AAGCAGCUAGUAUAAACAACACAACUAAUUUCGACUCAGUAACUCCGGGUUUAAGCCCCGGGCUGCUAU